AAUAUUUGACAAUGGGCGGAAGCCUGAUCCAGCCAUGCCGCGUGUGUGAAGAAGGNCUNNGGAUUNUNAAGCACUUUAAUUAGNNNNNAAGGGCAGUUACCGAAUACUUAACUGUUUUGACGUUACCAAAAGAAUAAGCACCGGCUAACUUCGAGCCAGCAGCCGCGGUAAUACGAAGGGUGCAAGCGUUAAUCGGAAUUACUGGGCGUAAAGCGCGCGUAGGUGGUUCGUUAAGUUGGAAGUGAAAGCCCCGGGCUCAACCUGGGAAUUGCUUUCAAAACUGGCGAGCUAGAGUACGGUAGAGGGUGGUGGAAUUUCCUGUGUAGCGGUGAAAUGCGUAGAUAUAGGAAGGAACAUCAGUGGCGAAGGCGACCACCUGGACUGAUACUGACACUGAGGUGCGAAAGCGUGGGGAGCAAACAGGA
rnacentral:rRNA from 1 species